CAGAAGGACUCUGAAAUUUUCCCAGAUUUUUCUCUCCACAAAUCUGAAAGGUAAGAUCUUAAAUCUUACCGAAGAAAAGAUGAGUUGAAACAAAGAGCAAUAUCAUGGGACUGGAGAAAGAACUCUGGCUCUUCCAACAGAGUGAGAACAAAUUUGGCCAAGGUCGAACAGUGUGACAAAAUUCUGCUACGCACUUCAGGAACAAAUUCAAUUUAUUUUUCUGUUCCCUUCAGUUUGGGAUGGAGCAGUAAGAGAAGAGAGCUGCCUAAGGAGUGACAGGGACAUGUGGACAGUGACAGAAAGAAAUGUCACUUCUGAAUGAGCCCCAGCUCCACCUUGUUAAUAUCUUGCUAUCGUUGAUCACUUGGAAGCUGAAUAUUACAAAUUAAAAUCACUCCUUGGCUAGCCACAACAAUCCUUCACCUCUUCAAAUCUAUGAUCUUUCCUGCAUUUUUCAGGUUAAUGAGGCUGGGAGCACAUGCACAUCGUAUGCUCAGGGCUGCGCAAAUUGCUGUGGAUGCUCUGGGUUCCUGUGUCCCACCCCAGUGGCGCCCCCACACAAGGUUCAGUCUGCAGGGAUGGGAACAGUCAGAGGCUGAGAGAGGCUCUGAGAUAUGGCCCUGUGCUGAUCUCUGCAUGGAGAUGUACCACAGAGGGAAUCCCUUAAUGCUGCUCACUCCCACCUUUCCCUACGUUGCAUUGCCAACAAGGCACUUGUGUCUCCUGUCCUCACAGACUGGAUGGGUCCUGUGCAGUUUGUACCUUGUCCGGAGCUAGAUCACAGCCACCAGAGACCUGGGGUCAGAAGUGGUUUAGGAUGCUCUCCCUGCACAUGGAAACUGUUGGGCAGACAUUGAGAAGCUGACGGUAUCAAAAACAGUUGAAAAGAAGACAGUCAUUUUCUACAUAAAGGGAUGAAUAUUUACACUUAUGCUGAAUCUGAAAAAGUGAGGAAGUAUGUGAGGAGUAUGUGAGGAGUAUGAUAGAGGAGCAGAAGACCAUAACCAAUGUCCUCAGCUGCUUUUGGUCUGUCACAAAGGAGCAGACUUCCCCAGUAUCCCUGUAAAUCACACCUCCCAAAUGUUUCCAAGAUGAGGACUCAGACCAAAUGCAAUGCAAGGAAUGAAGGAUGGGGAGAUGAGCAGAACAAGAAGAAUGAAAUUGUGGAUUGAGUUUCCUUUCUCUGUUUUUCCUUUUUUGCUGGCCCAGCACAGCACUUCCUGUUAGCCCUCAGAAACAUAUUCCAGAAAUGCAUCAGCUCUAAGGAAGACCUGCGAGAGACUGAUCCCUGCCACUGAUGCCAGUAUUUCCUGGGAGGUGGAUCUCAGCUGUGGCCAAGGCCUGGACAUCCUUUGGUGUUAGGGCUGGUGAGCCUCACUCUCCCAAGGCUUUUCCCUGUGGAACACACAGAAGUGGCUUAUUAAAUUGCGUCUCUCCAAGUGAAGAUAUCAAGGCUCAUAUUCCCUUUCGGUUUAGGUUGAAGUUCAUAAUUCCCAGGCUACUGCUUGUCUCAAAACUUUUUUCUGGAAGUAAGUAAAGUCCCUCCUUCAGUUGAAGUGCUGCAGGCUGGUGGUCAGCAACAACCCUAGACCCCACCCCCUUUCAAAUUGUCGGCAUUCCGCAUCACCUUUGGUGAACCAAUGAAGUCAAUAGCCAACAAAAUGGGAAACAUCCCCCUGACGACCCUCAGAGCUGAUACCCAGGUAUGCAGGACAUGUACUGAUUUUUUACAAGGGCAAUAAAUAAAUAAAAACAUCCUGAUACUCGUGCAAGGAAAAUUCCACAUAGUCAUCCCACCA